CCUGACCAUACAGGCAUUGAAGGUAUGGCUGCUGUGUCACAUGUGCCUCAGUAGGUGACAGAGAGGAGAGAGGCUACAUCUACACUCAGUCUUCCAAAUGCAAACAUCUGAAUGAUUAGUAGCCAACCUGA
ensembl:snoRNA LOC120100430 small nucleolar RNA SNORA17